CCAAAGGCCAGUUAGCCACGAAACGAAGUCUUCAGGAAAGCAGAGAAUUAGACAAAAGCCCUCCAGGAAUCUAUCUCCUGAGCCUGCCAAUAGUGAUUGAGGACUUGGGCACAGAUGCCUGGGUGACUACUCUACCCGUAGCAGCAGUCGCUCGCUAAAGUGAAAACCUCCUCAUGGAAUCUCUCCCCUGGAUUUGGAAUUCCAGAAUGAAUCAGAGAAUCCUGCUAAGGAAUGGUCCUCAGCAGACAUGAAACCCAACUUCUUACAAAUGAGGAAACUGAGGCCCAGAGAUGUGGCAUAUCUUCCCUAUGGUCAUGUAGCAAGUUUUGAUACAAAGAUGGCUCAACCGAACUGGAAGAAGAUAUGGAGUAAUCACAGAGCCAGGGCCCACUGUUUGUUGAGACUCCAAAGCAGAUGAUCGAAAUGGUUGUUUAAUCAUGGGAAUGCAAAGAACAGAAAAAUCUCUCUCCCAUUACCCUUCUGAUGAACCUGGGCCUAGGGAAACCAGUUGAAUCCCAGCCAAAUGAAAGGAACCAUGCAGAUGGGUUGCUUUGUUUUUCUGGUUUAUUUGUUUGGGGUUUUUUUCCUAUAAUUUUUUUAAAGACAUAAAACAGGUUUCCACAGCAAGCCUGGAAAUACUGGGUUUUCUGGUCUAAAUAAGGCCUGACUACCAGCGGCAGCCCUGACCCAAGAGACAGGUGAAAAAUCUGACUGUUAGGGAUGUGAUGACAGCUUCCUCCUGGGCUUUCUUAAUUCUGAAAUGCCCUUGCAGAGGUGGUAAGGACUCUGGGGACAGGGCUGACUGCUCCUCAAGGCUUGGGGUGGAGGAGCAGAAGCAGUGAAAAGGGAGCAUCAUGGCAGAAAGUGUGUGGGUUCCGUCUGAUGGCAACUUGCCAAGGGUCCAAGCUAGACGGUUUGCAAGAUGAAAAGCCCCAGGAAGGUAAGCUACCUGAGGGCAAGGACUGUUUGGGUCUUAGGUUUGUAUCCCCAGUGCAGGCACAGAAUAAGUAUGUCGUAGGGCCCAGGAAUUGAAAAGGAAAAAUAGCAACUUCAUGUGGAGAGUGCUUUAAAAUAUGCAGAACCCUCUGUAAAUAUCAUCUCAUUUGAUCUCUUAACAACCUCAAGAGGUAGGAGGGAGAAAUAUUUUAUCACAUGUCCCCUCAUUUUUUAGAUGAAGAUAAAAACAAGUCUCAGUUAGGUCAAAGGACUAGUCUAGGGUCACACAGCCAGAGCCAGAUCCCAGGAAAGCGAAUUGCUGUUUGAUCCUCAACAGAUGAAUGUUCUGAAACAUGUUAAGAGGAUAGGGUGCCCAGUAUGGUGUCAGGAAGACCUAGUUUCAAACUUCUCCACUGACACUACCUGUGUGACCCUGCACAAGUCACAUCACUUUAGCAGGGUUGAAAGGAGAAGGGGUAAUGAAGUGGACCUCGUAACCAGACAUCCUCUCAUUCCUCUCCUUUAUAAACAGACACUGUCUUGGGUGCUUUAACGUUCUAUUUUCCAGGUUUUUUGCUUUUGUUUUUUGGCGAGGCAAUUGGGGUUAAGUGACUU